rnacentral:rRNA from 1 species
UACGAAAGGUCCAAGCGUUUACUCGGAAUUACUGGGCGUAAAGCGCGCGUAGGCGGCUUUGUAUGUCGAUUGUGAAAUCCCUGGGCUCAACCCAGGAACUGCAGUCGAAACUGCAAAGCUUGAAUGUUGGAGAGGUUGGGGGAAUACCUAGUGGAGAAGUGAAAUUCGUAGAGAUUAGGUGGAACACCAGAGGCGAAGGCGCCUGACUG